rnacentral:rRNA from 1 species
CCUACGGGUGGCAGCAGUGGGGAAUAUUGGGCAAUGGGCGCAAGCCUGACCCAGCAACGCCGCGUGAAGGAAGAAGGCUUUCGGGUUGUAAACUUCUUUUCUCAGGGACGAAGAAAGUGACGGUACCUGAGGAAUAAGCCACGGCUAACUACGUGCCCGCAGCCGCGGUAAUACGUAGGUGGCAAGCGUUAUCCGGAUUUAUGGGGUGUAAGGGCGUGUAGGCGGGAGCGCAAUUCAGAUGUGAAACCUCAGGGCUCACACCUGAGCCUGCAUUUGAAACUGUGUUUCUUGAGGUCUGGAGAGGCAAGCGGAAUUCCGGGUGUAGCGGGGAAAUGCGUAGAUAUACGGAGGAACACCAGUGGCGAAGGCGGAUUGCUGGACAGUAACUGACGCUGAGGCGCGAAAGCGUGGGGAGCAAACAGGAUUAGAUACCCUGGUAGUC